GCUUUAUUAGCUCAGUCGGGAGAGCAUGAGACUUUUAAUCUCAGGGUCACAAGUUCGAGCCCCGUACUAAGCU
rnacentral:tRNA from 1 species